GCGAACGCUGGCGGCAGGCCUAACACAUGCAAGUCGAACGGAUCCUUCGGGAUUAGUGGCGGACGGGUGAGUAACACGUGGGAACGUGCCUUUUGGUUCGGAAUAGCUCCUGGAAACGGGUGGUAAUGCCGAAUGUGCCCUUCGGGGGAAAGAUUUAUCGCCAUUAGAGCGGCCCGCGUCUGAUUAGCUAGUUGGUGAGGUAAAGGCUCACCAAGGCUACGAUCAGUAGCUGGUCUGAGAGGAUGACCAGCCACAUUGGGACUGGGACACGGCCCAAACUCCUACGGGAGGCAGCAGUGGGGAAUCUUGCGCAAUGGGCGAAAGCCUGACGCAGCCAUGCCGCGUGAAUGAUGAAGGCCUUCGGGUUGUAAAGCUCUUUCGGGUGUGAAAAUGAUGAUGGUAACACCAGAAGAAGCCCCGGCUAACUCCGU
rnacentral:rRNA from 1 species